rnacentral:lncRNA from 1 species
GAAGGGAAGGGAAGGGAAGGGAAGGGAAGGGAAGGGAAGGGAAGGGAAGGGGCUACACAAUGACUCCCUCCAUUUUCCUCCAGCAGCCCAACAUUGCUCCCUCCCUGCUUAGGCAGCCUGAACCCCCCAGCCUCACACCAGGGACACAAGGUUGCAUCACCCCACCACCUGACCCGAGGAGUGAAUGCCACCUCAUUGUCAUCACUUCAACUGACAUCGUCUGGGUGAAGAGGAUGCUUGAUUGGCUGCCGCAUGAGCUGCUGCCUGAGAUAGUGGUCCCCUGCUCUGACUGCAGCCUGCCUGGCAUGCCCCAGGCUCCAGCUCCAUGAGGAAGCUCAACUCUGCCCAACGUGGAGAGAACACUAAGCCAGGAGAGGAUGGAGAAGAAGGAUGCUUUUCCUCUUCAUCUCAAACUUGAAAACAUUGGAGAUGUUUUUACUGAAACCCUCAACCCAGCAUGGACAAUUUCAGUUAAAACCAUUUACUUCUGGUGAAGUCAUGAUGUAACUGAGAUGGAGUCUGUGACAGAGAGCCCAGGGAGCACCGGAGGCCACAACCUGAUUGUCAUGGGGAGGGUGAUGACGUGCUUGCAGAGGAGGUGGCAAGCUCACAGCUACAGCAGCACUGAGGGUCAUAGUGCUGUGAAGCCCGAUGGGAAGGUGCUCUGCUUCCCAUGUAUCCACCUGCAUGAGUUUUGUGCACAGAUCUGACCUAAGCUGCAGCAACAACAAACUGGUAAGCUCCAUAUUCGGUAGUGCAAGGCCUGCUUUUACUGAUGCAAUUAGAUACGAAUAGCUGGUGGAGGGUCUGGAGCACAAGUCUUGCAGGGAGUGGCUGAAGGAGUUGGGAUUGUUCAGUCUGUUCAGAUUGUUCAGGAGGCUCAAGGGAGACGUUAUUGCUCUCUACAACCACCUGAAAGGAGGCUGUGGUGAGGGGAUGUGACACUGAGGGCCAUGGUUAGUGGGCAUGGUGGGGACAGGCUGACGGUUGAACUAGGUGAUCUUAUCUGUAAUUUCCAACCUUAAUAAUUCUAGGAUUCUGUAAUUUCUCCUCUGACACAGAUCCAAAGCUCAAGCUCAGGUACUUGCCAUCUUGUUUGCCAAAAGUGAGCAGCGUCAUUCAUACUACCAGACAAAAGAUACCAAUAACACAAUAGUUGCUCUUUGUGAAUGAAACUACCCAAAACUGCAUUUGAAAGUGAAAAGCAUACAGUUGCAUGGAACAGAUUUAAGAAAGAUUUAUUUCUGGUCAUCUUGAAUCCUUGAGAGAGAAAUCUGGAUUGUGGAGGCAACCAUUUCAAAACCACAGCACAAAUUUCUGAACAUUUUU